CGCGUAGGCGGCCGAUUAAGUCGGGGGUGAAAGCCUGUGGCUCAACCACAGAAUUGCCUUCGAUACUGGUUGGCUUGAGACCGGAAGAGGACAGCGGAACUGCGAGUGUAGAGGUGAAAUUCGUAGAUAUUCGCAAGAACACCAGUGGCGAAGGCGGCUGUCUGGUCCGGUUCUGACGCUGAGGUGCGAAAGCGUGGGGAGCAAACA
rnacentral:rRNA from 1 species